rnacentral:rRNA from 1 species
UGGCUCGGGACGAACGCUGGCGGCGCGCCUAACACAUGCAAGUCGAACGAGAGAUGAGGAGCUUGCUCUUCAAAUCGAGUGGCGAACGGGUGAGUAACGCGUGAGGAACCUGCCUCAAAGAGGGGGACAACAGUUGGAAACGACUGCUAAUACCGCAUAAGCCCACGGCUCGGCAUCGAGCAGAGGGAAAAGGAGCAAUCCGCUUUGAGAUGGCCUCGCGUCCGAUUAGCUAGUUGGUGAGGUAACGGCCCACCAAGGCGACGAUCGGUAGCCGGACUGAGAGGUUGAACGGCCACAUUGGGACUGAGACACGGCCCAGACUCCUACGGGAGGCAGCAGUGGGGAAUAUUGCACAAUGGGGGAAACCCUGAUGCAGCGACGCCGCGUGGAGGAAGAAGGUCUUCGGAUUGUAAACUCCUGUUGUUGAGGAAGAUAAUGACGGUACUCAACAAGGAAGUGACGGCUAACUACGUGCCAGCAGCCGCGGUAAAACGUAGGUCACAAGCGUUGUCCGGAAUUACUGGGUGUAAAGGGAGCGCAGGCGGGAGAACAAGUUGGAAGUGAAAUCCAUGGGCUCAACCCAUGAACUGCUUUCAAAACUGUUUUUCUUGAGUAGUGCAGAGGUAGGCGGAAUUCCCGGUGUAGCGGUGGAAUGCGUAGAUAUCGGGAGGAACACCAGUGGCGAAGGCGGCCUACUGGGCACCAACUGACGCUGAGGCUCGAAAGUGUGGGUAGCAAACAGGAUUAGAUACCCUGGUAGUCCACACCGUAAACGAUGAUUACUAGGUGUUGGAGGAUUGACCCCUUCAGUGGCGCAGUUAACACAAUAAGUAAUCCACCUGGGGAGUACGAAAGGAAGGUUGCAACUCAAAUGAAUUGACGG